UCUUAUUUCUUAGUUUUUUCUUCUUCUUUUGUUCAAUGGUCGAAAGACUCUUAUAUUACAACUCUUUCGUGGGAUUGUAGACUUCAAGUCAAAGCUUACACAAGUUUGAUUAAUAGGGAAUUAGUUCGUUUGGCAAAAGAACAUUCAAUGUUUUUUCUUUGUUAAAGAUUGAAACUAGAAAUAUUAACUAUUGCUUGCAAAUUACUCAUCUCAAUUUUAUAACAAGGAAAAAGUAAUUAGGAAGAGAUAAAAUGAAAAGAGAAUACAGUACAAUCGUCAUAAUUAAUAUUUCACAAAAUUCUUAAGAUGGAGGCGACUGCCAUCUGUCUAGACAAAUUUAUGUUAGGCGAAAAAUAUACCCCUAGGCAAUAAGAAGAAUAUAUCUGUUUUUUUUUUUUUGGCACUUUCUAGAUAAAAAUGUUUUGGGGAUUUUUGGGCCUUGAAUUUUUUUAACCAGGACUUUUUAGUAUAAGAUUUAAAUAGCUGUUUUUAGACUUAGACAGGAAAAAGGAAAUCCUUGAGCAGUAUCCAGAAUGACACUAGGUAUUUUCAAAACAAAAAUAUAUUUAGUGCUCUAGAAUCAUCACUUUUUCACUUCCAUACAAAUAUUGAAUUGGAUUUAGUCCGUUGGAUUUACGUGGAUCCAGUUGAUCGUGGCGGCCUUGAGAAAUUCGAGGCAAAUUCUGAAUUCAUUAUUCCUGUUCCUAAUAUGGGCCGGGUCGAACGAGUUGUCGGUAAAUUCAAGACUGCAGAUAUUCAAUUCUUCGACAGCAUCAUCAACCUGGCCAAGGAUAUUGUCAAAAUCAUAGUUAACAAAGCUUCUUCUUACCAAUUUGAGGUAGCUGAUGGCAUCGUUGUAAUUCUUGGAGCAUGACAGAUACUUGUUUUUCAAGUUUUUGUCUUUGGAUCUGUUGUAAAGCCGAUCAAGUUUGUCGUGGAUUUCAUCGGCUUUUUCUUCUACCGGGUCGAGUGCGAUAAUAGCCGCGCGUAAGAUACUCGUUUCAUUGAAUCUGUUGGCCUUGUCUUUGAUGAAGUUCCAGCACACUUGUGCAUCAUUUGUCUGGGAGCAGAGUUCUUGUAGGUAGUUUUCGAGUUGUGGUUUCGUCCAGUAAUCCCAAUCACCCAAUGAAGAGGGAACUGCAAUUGCGAAAACAAGAGCAAUGAAGAUUAUUCUGUGCAAAUAGUUACGUGCAAUAGGAGCCAAUUCUAGUAUUAGGGCGCCGUCGAAUCUGUUGAGCUGGGGUUUGAUGAUGUACCAGCACUCUUUUGUUUUAUUGGUAUUGGAGCACACUUCUUUUAGGUAGUUUGCGAUUUCUGGUUUCCCCCAAGCGGUGCCAGGAGUCCAACUCCAACCCAAUGAAGAGGGAACUGCAAUUGCGAGAACAAGAGCAAUGAAAAUUAUUCUGUGCAAAAAGUCGAUUACGACACCAGCCACGCCUUUGAAAUCCGACUGGUUGAACCUGUUGAUCUCGGAUUUGACGAAGUACAAGCACUCUUUUGUUCUAUUUGUCUGGGAGCAGAGAUUUCUUAGGUCUUUCUCGAUCUCUGAUUUCUCUCUGCGACCCAAUGAAGAGGGAACUGCAAUUGCGAGUACAAGAGCAAUGAAGAUUAUUCUGUGCAAAUAGUAAGCCAUUUUUUUUUCUUUCUUCUUUUUAUGGAAUGAAUUACUUCUUCAAAUGCCUUGUUUAUAUAGCAGCAAGUGCCAUUAAUUCUCUUGAAGAUAUUUAAUGCUUCCAUGUCUUCAGUUUUGAAUUCAUUAAGUAUGGUACUUGUAUUUAAUUCUA